rnacentral:misc_RNA from 1 species
CGCACAUUGCGCCCCUUGGUAUUCCGAAGGGCAUGCCUGUUCGAGCGUCAUUUCAACCCUCAAGCCUAGCUUGGUAUUGGACGCGGUCCUAGGACCCGUCCACAACCCGUUGGCGGUACCGUCCAGCCUCAAGCGUAGCAAGAACCUCGCUUUGGGAGCCUGUAGCGGCGCCUGCCAGGAAAACCCACUCUGAAGUUUGACCUCGGAUCAGGUAGGGAUACCCGCUGAACUUAA